rfam:Lactobacillus selangorensis strain DSM 13344 Scaffold4, whole genome shotgun sequence.
CGGGCGUUACGAUGAUGGAAGGACCUUGUUUGUCUUUCUCAGUCUAGCUCGGGGAUCCAUCUUCGGAUGGGUGCC